rnacentral:tRNA from 1 species
GGCCCGUUCGUUUAGUGGUACAGGAUGCCGCUUUUUCAAAGCGGCGAGAUGGGUUCGAUUCCCAUACGGGCUAC